rnacentral:rRNA from 1 species
ACGAACGCUGGCGGCGUGCUUAACACAUGCAAGUCGAACGAAGAGCGAUGGGAGCUUGCUUCUAUCAAUCUUAGUGGCGAACGGGUGAGUAACGCGUAAUCAACCUGCCCUUCAGAGGGGGACAACAGUUGGAAACGACUGCUAAUACCGCAUACGAUCUAAUCUCGGCAUCGAGGAUAGAUGAAAGGUGGCCUCUACAUGUAAGCUAUCACUGAAGGAGGGGAUUGCGUCUGAUUAGCUAGUUGGAGGGGUAACGGCCCACCAAGGCGAUGAUCAGUAGCCGGUCUGAGAGGAUGAACGGCCACAUUGGGACUGAGACACGGCCCAGACUCCUACGGGAGGCAGCAGUGGGGAAUCUUCCGCAAUGGACGAAAGUCUGACGGAGCAACGCCGCGUGAGUGAUGACGGCCUUCGGGUUGUAAAGCUCUGUUAAUCGGGACGAAAGGCCUUCUUGUGAACAGUUAGAAGGAUUGACGGUACCGGAAUAGAAAGCCACGGCUAACUACGUG